UACGUAGGGUGCAAGCGUUUAAUCGGAAUUACUGGGCGUAAAGCGCACGUAGGCGGCUUUGUGAAGUUAGAGGUGAAAGCCCGGGGCUCAACUCCGGAAUUGACCUUUAAAACUGCAUCGCUAGAAUUGUGGAGAGGUGAGUGGAAUUCCGAGUGUAGAGGUGAAAUUCGUAGAUAUUCGGAAGAACACCAGUGGCGAAGGCGACUCACUGGACACAUAUUGACGCUGAGGCGGCGAAAAGCUAGGGUAGCAAACGGG
rnacentral:rRNA from 1 species